AUACAAACAGAUCGACCAUGAUUCCGAACAGAAAAUACCAUUCUUUUUAUUCUACUGUAAAUGGACUUCUAUGGGAAGAAUCAGGACAUUGACCUUGCUGGGAGCCCGGGGUCAUGGAUAUGGUAUCACCCCAUUUCAUGUUUUCUGCAGUCAGGUCAUCUGAUGAUAUUUUUCCAAUAAAGGAAGACUGUCUUUUGUUUAUUCGAGUAUUCGAAAUGAGUCUGUCUCUGUGGUUUUGGAGAAAUGUUUAAAUAAAUGCGCUCCACUGUCGGCUUGAACAAACAUCCUUACUGUGUCUGUUGCAUUUCGAGGCCCUAAUCAUGGUGGUGUGUUUUCUUUCUGAGUUGUAAAAGUACUGUUUGCCUGUUUCCAGUUUGUUGUGUCUGUAUUGUUUUACUUCAUUGGUUGUUUCUUGCUAAAUAAGCAUGUCCCACUGUUAUUGUUGAAAGACAUCUUAUUCCAACUAGAUUAGCUGAUUAUGAAUGUCAUUCA